rnacentral:lncRNA from 1 species
AAAAACGAUUCUGCAUUAAUUAAUACCGUCUUUUUGUUUGAGAGAGAGAUAGGUAGCACGCUACCCGCUUCGUUUAUUUCAUUUAGAAAUAAAUUUAGCUGGAAAUGUGAAUCAACUAAGAUUCGAACUUGGGUCUCGGGUACCAACCACCAAGCCCUUUGCCACUUGCUCUAGGGACGGCCGAUAAUUAAUACUGUCUUUUUGGUCCGAACAACUAUUCAGUUAUACAUUGCGAAGAAUUUCAAAGUUUGACGUUUAUUUUGAUAGAGUAAGGCUUCGUUUGGAAUUACGAAAAAAUUGCGUUAUGUGUGGUGAUAAAAUACGAUGGAAAAAUACCAUAUUUGUUUCUGUACGUAAUAUUACGGUCCCACCAGAGAAUGCAGAAAUAUAUUCUAUAUGUUUUUUUCCUAAUUUCAUUUUAUCUAACAUCGUCAGAUAUAUCUCAAUACCAAAUUAAUUCUUAAUUUGUCUUAUUUCAAGAGAACA